rnacentral:lncRNA from 1 species
AAACUACAAUGUCGGCAGGUUCCAAGAGCGUCCUAGUUCCCACUGAUGCCGAGCUGCUGCAGGCACAAGCAGAUCUAUGGCGCCACAGCCUCUACUACCUCACCUCCAUGGCGUUCAAGUGUGCCGUCGAGCUCGGCGUCCCAACUGCCAUCCAUAACCUGGGAGGGGCUGCAUCGGUGAAGGACCUGGUAACAACACUAUCCCUCCCGGAAACUAAGCUGCCGUUCCUGCGCCGUGUGAUGCGGUUGCUGGUCACCUCUGGCAUCUUUGCAUCUGAAAGCAGCGCCGAUGUGGAGACCUACCGCCUCAACCCUCUCUCCUGGCUCCUGGUGGAAGGUGUGGAUGCUGAAGACCACAC